AUGUCGAUCAAAUUCUUCCUGAACUUUUCGAACGCCCUUUUCGCCUUGUCAUCUGAUGUCCACUUUGGCUCGUCACGCUGCCCUAGGUACACCUCAUCGGAGGAGUGGCUGGACAGGACCUCGAUCAAGGAGACACCAAUGAUGCUCUGGAGCUGGCUCGUGAUGGUAUGGAUGAAGGCCUUGUCUGGAUUAGUCUCCGCCUCCUCGUAUUCUUUGGUGCCUGGCUCAGGCAUUGGCCGCCCGCUCACCGUCGGGCGGUUUGGGAGGUAGCCGGCAUAGGGGUACUGGCCAAAGUUGACAGCCGCGUGCAGUGCGGAGGCGAUCCAGAUAAUGGUGCUGCAUGUCCGGACGAGCUCUGUAAUGGUUGUCAUCUUGGGCCACCAGGGCUGGUCCGCGAUGUCGCCAUGGCCGACCUCACGCACCUCCUUCCACCAUGCCUGCAGCUCGACAUCGCCCUGAAGCACGUCGUCGCUGGGGUAG
rnacentral:rRNA from 1 species